CGAUGGCGUUUUUUCACUUUUUGUUCAGUAUGCUGAAGAAUUCGGUGUUAGGCGCAUCUCAGCGUUGAAUAAGUGUCAACACGGCUCUGUAGCGUUUUCGUGUGUGUUGUGGGACUUUCCUGUGGGAGUCCUACUCUAUUGCUGGGAUAUGGGGGACUAUUACCAAAUGCACCAGGAUCUUGACUUAUGUAAAUUAGAAAUCGACUCAGAAAAUGAAAACAGUGGAAAUGAAGAGUCUGAUGACUCGGCAGGUGCGGAGGAAGAGUAUCAGCAACACAAUAAAUCGAAGAAGUUCAUUAACAAGGGCCGAUGGAGCAAAGAAGAGGACAUAAAAUUGAAGCUUUACGUUGAAGAGUAUAACGAAAAAUGGAGCAUGAUUGCGGAACAUUUUCCGGACAGAUCGGACGUCCAGUGCCAGCAGCGCUGGACAAAGGUCGUGAAUCCGGAACUUAUAAAAGGACCGUGGACCAAAGAGGAAGAUGAGAAAGUCGUUGAGCUGGUGAACAAAUACGGGGCGAAAAAAUGGACGCUGAUCGCUCGACAUCUCAAAGGCAGAAUAGGGAAACAGUGCCGGGAGCGCUGGCACAAUCACUUGAAUCCGAGAAUCAAAAAAUCCGCCUGGACCGAUGAGGAGGACGAAAUCAUCUAUCAAGCGCAUCAAAUGCUCGGCAAUCAGUGGGCCCGAAUUGCCAAAUUAUUGCCAGGAAGGACCGAUAAUGCCAUUAAAAACCACUGGAAUUCGACGAUGCGUCGACGCUACGAAAACGUGGAGGGCGAUUCAAAGAAGGGCCGUCCCAAAAAGGGCCAGCGACAAUUAGAGAUUUGCAAAGUUGGCAAUUUACUACUCCCUGCACAUGUCCGGUCAACAGAGUCGGCCAGUCACGACAGUAGACAAUCGGACUGGGUGGAAGUGUGCGACCAAGGCAGCAACCAAUCAAGUGCCGCAUUUUCCACUGGCGGUCUGACUCCCUCUUCAGAUUCCCGAACAGCAACUGGAUUCGAGCGCCUCAAUCCAUCACCCUGUAUAUCGCAGCUCAGCAUUGCUGAGACGCACAGCUACGCCAGAAGCUAUCCUAGAGAACCGUCGCCAGUUAAACUGACGCCACUGAAUGAGGACCCCAUCGAAGACUACAACAUCCGUUACUUUAAUUCGCCGAAUGUUAGUCCUCUCAAGACUGAUGGCAGGCACAUUAUUCGAUUAAUAAGUGACAAUCACAAUUACCAGGGAUCCUCAGAAGCUGCUGUUUCGCAUCUGCCGUCGAUGCCAGUGCGAACAGCCACUCCCCCCAUCCUGAGAAGAGGCGCCCGCUCGAGAAGGAGACGCGAUAGCGAAGAACCAAGACAGGAAAACAAUGCUGAUGUUUACAUCAGUAAUCCUGGGCCUAGUCAAGAACGGUCGGACGAUUUCACUGUGAUCUUUGGCGGUGGUAAACCGACAAUCUUCAGUCCGCUGAGGGGCAACGGCAUGUCUCCGAUCAAGCAGUUGCCGUUCAGUCCUUCCCAGUUUUUGAAUAGUCCAGGAGUCGCUCAUAUUUCUUUUGAUGUUGCCCUGUCUUCCACUCCCGUUAAGAAGCCGGGAUCGACUGGAUCGAAGCACGAUACACCAAAGCACACUAAGGAAUAUAGUCCGUUGAAUACGCCAAGAGGACCACAAGUUCGACCCGAAGCCACAGUGUCCAACUCAGAGGUGCAAACUCCCAACAAGAGACUGUUUCGUAAUGGAGACACUCCGCGUACUCCUACACCGUUCAAAAAGGCACUGGCCGAUUUGGAGAAGAAGUCGGGACCGAUUGUUAAUAUGCCUCACACGCCCUCUUCACGAUUCGACGACAUAACGGAGAUUAUGAAGAAGGAUCAGGAUGCUUCGCAAUACGAGACUGACACCAGUACCAUCACAUCAACAACGAACGACAGUGGUUACAACACAAUAAGUAAAAGAAAAGCCGGAAGUUUGGCUGAUGGAAAAGAGAACGUUUUACCGAAUAAGAGAGUCAGAAAAGCUUUAGCACCGUCUUGGGCUUCUACUUCUAUGUCAUCUUGCGUUUCUUCGGACAUGUCUUUUGCUGUUGAAACCCCGAGUAAAAGUCUAGGCGAUGACACGGCCAUGCUAUUCACAACUCCGCCUUCGAUAAUGAAAGAUUCAUUAGGAGUGUCGGCUUUGGAAUAUUCAGCGCCUGGAGAAUCAAAGGUACAUGACUGGUUUCCUUACGCGGACUUUUUUUCUUCUUAAUUAACAUUUGACAAUAUUCAACGACAAACACACGUACCUGGACACACAAUCACAAACCCUUCAACUCUCCUAACAGAUCACUUUAUGUUGGCGUGAUUAAUAUGCCAUUUCUCAAUUCGGUUGUGGUUUUUUUUUAUUAUUUUAACACUAACAUUUCCACAUUAAAACCAAGCAAAUGGUGGCCAAAUAUCAUGCUUCAUGUAUGGCAUUUAUUUAAUGCACAAUCUAGUCGAUGCUUAGUAUUGGUAAGCAAGGAACAACCAAAGCCAUUUCGAAUUUUUUAUUUUGUUGCACAAACAGCUCUAAUAUAUUGUGUAUCUCACAAUGAAGAAUCUCCUUCAUUUAUCUUAAUCGUUUGUCUAUUUCUUACAAACCAAAAAGUUGUCAAACGACGCGUACUUAUUUUUUUCUACUUAAAGUUGCUGAGGCAAAUGACCCCACAAAAAGUUCUUCGCAUAGUCGUUUGAAGACAACCACUUUUGUUCUUCGCAUAAUCUUGUACGCUUUAUCCAACCAGUAAUUUAUGUUUAAUUUUUAUUAUUUUGUUAUUUGUGUUGUUAAGAUAGGGCGGUAUGUGUACAUAAAAUAUUCUAGGGUAUUCCGAAUGAAAUGAUAUAGACUAAGUCGGUUUAUGCUUGCUUGUACAUAAUAUAUUCUAUCGAGUUUUAUAUGGUGCCAAAGCGAAAUACUUUAAUGUUGUUUUAUCAGAAAAAUCUUAUCUAUUAUUUAUUGAAUUAUUUAUUAUUAUUGCGUUAAUAAUUUAAGAGCUGAUUGGAUCUCUAAUGGUUUCAUGUUCCGGUUUCUUCAAUACACACAGUAGGCUUUUUAUAUUUAAACUUUAUUCUGUUGUUUGUUUGACUUUGAAGUACAUUUUUUUCCCAACAAUUCGAAAAAUCUCCAAAAACACUUAUACAUAUAUUGUUGAUACAAUAAAGAAAAACUCAUUAAACAUGCACAGAGUGUUUUAAAUCAAUUAAUUACAUUACAAAAUACUAAGUCGUUUUGAGCUUAAAAGUAUGUACAUUUUGUGUUAAAUACAAUUUUAAAAAUUGUGUCAAUCUGUACGAUUCGUACAGAACUUGAGGAACCUUUCGAUUAUGAUAAUGGAGAAUAUUAUUUAUUAUGAAAGUGGCGAAUUAACUGAAAUUUAUGGAACUGGAACUACCUUAGAUACCCGUAACACCUACAGCUGGUUUUGUUAUUUCCAAAUUUAAAUAAAUCCUAGAAUAUCACUUAAAAACUGCUUUACAUACGUUACCACUUAUAAAAAAAGCGACCGCCAAACUUAAUUAUUGUUAUACUACGUUUACUCCAUUUGUACAUAUUUGCGGCACAAAUUUUAUAAAAUAAACGUGUAUUUAUGUUUUAAAUAUUUUUGUAUAAUUGUUGCACUUUGUUUACUUUUAGUCUUUUUUCCCGUUAUUUUCGUUUCGUGUUAGUUUUAGGUCAAUGUGACUUGAACAAAGACGGUCGUUUAACGGAAUUCGCUUUGUUUUUUUUUGUUCGAUUAAAUGUGUGAAUUUUUCGAAAUUUUUGUAUUAUAAGUAUGAGAAAAAUACCUUUAUUUUGUGUCUUUCGCGUAAGUUGCAUGUUUAAUGUUACUAAAAAAGUAACAUGGAUGACUGAACUUUUAUUACCACUAACAAAGCAGUGCAUAACAUUGAAAGGAAUCUGAACGAUUAUCUCUCAUUGCAUGCAAAUGAUAUAUUUAGACAGCUAAGUUUAGUAGUGUUUGGAUCACUAAAUUUUAACGCUUCCUUUAUUUAGCUUGUUUGCUCCUAUUAAUAACUUAUUUGCAAGGCGAAUGUUGUUUAACCAGGAAAUUUAGUGGUUCAAGCUAGAUCUUUAAUCUGUAUGACUUACCUUGUAAAUUUGUCUUGUAAUGUGUAUAAAAAGGCAAAAUAAAGCUUGCUUCCAAGCUGGGUAGUACGUCGUGUACUCCGGGGCAGCGCUCAACUGCAGCCAAGCGGAUCACUUUCGAAGAGACCAUGCCGAACACUCCUAAGAUCGAUUCAUUCUGGGCUGUAAUAGCAUGCGGUAAAACCCAGAACCAACUAGACCUCACUGAGAAGGCUCACAGGUUUCUGAAGAACAACGGCUUAAAGCCGCGCUCACUUCAUUUUUAGAUGGCAAUUAUAUGUGAAACAUAGGAUAAAGAGAAAUGUUAGUGUGUUUUAUUUUUAGCUCUAAUGGGGGUUUAAAUUUAGUUUUAAUUGAAUAGUUGCAGUAUUACUCAACCAUAAUUUACGAGUUGAGGCUUUAAAUCACUGUACUAUAAUGCAGGCUUACUCGAUUGUCGACUAAGAUAAUUUUAUUGCUUAUUUUCUUAUAUUUGUAGAUUAAUUUACGUUUUUCUAAGAUUCUUUGGACAUAUGUAUUAAAAAAAAAUUAGCUCAUUAAAUUGUACAAAUUACAAUAUGGAAUAUUUACCUUAUGUUUGUUUUAAAUGUUUAUUUUAUUUUUACAUAUAUUUUGAACCGUUAAUAUUUUCAACCAAAUUGUACAUUUUCACUUUCAUAUACUAGGAUAAAAAUGGCAAUUUUAAAAACAAAGUACCAAUCUGUGAAUAAAUUGUUGAAAAACUGUUCUCGUGGGCCAACAAACGAAUACAUAUUUUUUUUCGCUCUUCGAAACUAACUUUGCCUUUUGUACAUGCUCAAAUGAAAUCAAUGCUUUAACAGCAUUUCAGCAACUAGUUCAGAGAUUGUUACUACUUAACAUGUUCAAGUAGUGAUUUUUAUUUUAGCUUUAAAAUGUCGAUUUUAGAAGUCAGGGAAAUUGUUAAAAGCACCUCAUAGUUACAUGUAAUUUGUAUUAUGUAAUAUGAUUUAGAGUAUUUCAUAGUCUUCGAUGAGUUUUAUGUGAAAUUGUUUAACUAUGUGGUGUAGUCAAUAAAAUGGUUUUUAAAUACACAA